rnacentral:misc_RNA from 1 species
GGAAGUAAAAGUCGUAACAAAGUUUCCGUAGGUGAACCUGCGGAAGGAUCAUUUCCAAAUAACAAUUUUUUUUCUUUGUCUUUGGAGUUCAAAAAACGAUAAUGACACAGGAAGGAAAUUUUCUCUAUAACAAACACCACAUUGGUAUUCUAAAUACAAAAAUCUAACAUUUACUACUUACAAGAAUCUUGUAACAAAAAAACACAACUUUUAACAACGGAUCUCUUGGCUCUC